rnacentral:rRNA from 1 species
CCUACGGGGGGCAGCAGUCGAGAAUCAUUCACAAUGGGGGAAACCCUGAUGGGGCGACGCCGCGUGGGGGAAUGAAGGUCUGCGGAUUGUAAACCCCUGUCAUGUGGGAGCAAAUUAAAAAGAUAGUACCACAAGAGGAAGAGACGGCUAACUCUGUGCCAGCAGCCGCGGUAAUACAGAGGUCUCAAGCGUUGUUCGGAAUCACUGGGCGUAAAGCGUGCGUAGGCUGUUUCGUAAGUCGUGUGUGAAAGGCGCGGGCCCAACCCGCGGACGGCACAUGAUACUGCGAGACUAGAGUAAUGGAGGGGGAACCGGAAUUCUCGGUGUAGCAGUGAAAUGCGUAGAUAUCGAGAGGAACACUCGUGGCGAAGGCGGGUUCCUGGACAUUAACUGACGCUGAGGCACGAAGGCCAGGGGAGCGAAAGGGAUUAGAUACCCCUGUAGUC